rnacentral:lncRNA from 1 species
GUAGCGAUCACUAAAUCAAUAAAGAACAUGUUAGGCUUUAAACCUUAAACAAAAAAACCUUUCAAAUAAACUAUCAAACAGCUGGUGCAAGAUCCAACUUAGUCACAUGGCACUCAAAUACUAACCAAUUAUUCAAACCAACUUAAGUGUUACUGCCAUCACAAACUAGGACACUUCUUUCUCCGACAAUUAUUUUCAGUAAAACUGAUGCCAAACAGAAUUAUCAAACUACUUGCUACUUCGAUUUCAUGUUGGGACUAUCAGCUCAUGCUCAAUAUACCAGUCAAAUACGUUCUCAAUGCUAAAUAAUACAGGCAUACAUGAGGCCAAAUGACAAGGAAUAAAAUUUAACAUGAAUAUCAUCAGUCAUGGUCAAACUUCAGAUCCAAACUUCGACUACACUUAAGUAGUGUCCAUGGUGUUGAGAAUACCUGGAAAUUGAAAAGGGAAAAAAAAGUUAACAAUCAGCAACGAGACAGCCUCAGAUUCAACCAAUUGGAUAGUGAAAGUAGGUUAAGAAAACCAAUGGAACAGUAACCCAACAACAAAACUCGACCUAGAACUAUUUCUAAAACCAAAUUCAAACCAUUUCAAUCCCAAAAUCAGAUUUUUUGUGAUUUUUCAGAGGCUUUCAAGGAGUUCUCACUAAUGAAAAGGAUCAGGAAUUUCAAUUUUCGCAAAAUUUUUCAUGAAAUCAUUAGCCCUUUUCAAUUUCAACUUUUUUAUCUCUUCCUUUUUGUCUAAAUGCAAGGUGAGGUACCUUUAUAGGCAAGGCAUUUUGGGCUGCAGAAUCCCACUAAUUUUGCACUUGACCCCUUUUAAAAGUUUUAUUUUAGCCUAGGAAUCCCUAGUUUAAUAUUCAGAAAUUCAACUAGGUCCCCACCCCAGCUUCUAGAAGCUUCCUAUAUCAAUUACUAAAGAUUCCCCUUGACAAAACUCCUAAAUUUCCCCCAAGAGCCCCUCUUAUUACCCCUUGAAACCAGGCAGAAUCCGGGUCCAAUUAACCUAAUUUAAUUCCCUUCUGGUCUAUUUAAUCUUUAUGAACCCAAUUAAAAUCUAUCAAUGGUUCACCAUUUAAAACCUGACCUAAUAUUACCCAAAAGAAAAAAUCAUGGAAGCCUUGACCCAAAACCAAAAGGGAAAAUGAAACUGUAUUAACUAAUAACAAAAAAAUAACUAUGCUGAUAAACAAAUCAUGCAUGGAAAAUUGACUCUAAAACAAAUAAAAAGGAAUCAAAAGAAGAGAAGAAGCAGAGAAGUAGAAAAGAAAGAAAAAUUGAAGAAAAGGUAACAAAGGAAAAGGAAAAAAAGUACCUAAAAUGAAUUCGGACAGUAGGAAAUAGGAGAUAGACUUUGAAUCUUCAAUAUAUAUAAGCCGAGUUUGACAUUACUCGUCUGUUCUUGAUAAGAACACACGAAUAACGUCAGACUAAAGUAAAUUUUCAAUGAAAUAUCAACUUCGGAGUUUUGGAGACUUUAGGGCUCAUUUUCAAAUUUAAGAUCCGACAAGCUCGGAGCAUGUUCGAGGGAAAAGAGUUGGAGGUUUGGGAUGGGGAGACGGAGGGGGUUCUAAGGUGUUAAUUUGAGGGUGAGAGGAGGUGGCGCCGCCAGGCUUAAGGUGGUGAGAUUAGGGGCGGCGAUCUAGGGUUUCUAGUCUCUGCGUAUAGAGACAACGAGGGGGGGCAAAGAGAUUCGGACACACACACACACACACACAC